UCUCACACACAUACACACACAAACCUAUUUCUUCCAUUCUCUUUCUUUCUUUCCGUCUCUCUGCCCUCCCUUCCUCACACUCCCCCAUCUCUUUCUCCUUUCUUUCUUUCUCUUUCGCUCUCUCUCUCUCGCGCGCACAUUCACUAUUCCUCUUUCUCACGCACACACGGCGUGACCCUUCAACAAACAUAUUUCAGAUAACAAAAGCGCACUUCUCAACACAUCUUCGCUUUGGAGAUGAUCUCAAACAUGUUUCAAGACGGCACAAACACACAAGAGUGAUCCCUAAUCACCGGCGCACUGGAGGCGUGUCUGUCGGUGUCAGACAGCCACUGAGUGAGACAUGCUGAAAUGUUUCCCUGGAGGAGUUCUACAGGAGCAUGCGAUAGGCUACCUGUCCGCUCCGUUGCCGGGUGUGUGCUGAGGUGUUCCCGCUCAUCCUCAUUACGGAAAAGGUUACAGCUUAUAGGUGCAUUAACGCCACGGACUGGACAGGAGUGUGGAUCAGGAUAUAUGCAGAUACAAAAGGAUGAGGGGAAGAAGGGAAAAUGCUCCAAAAGGAAGAUGGAAUAAAACACACACA